rnacentral:SRP_RNA from 1 species
CUGGGAGUCGGGUGGACGUUAGCGUUCGCCAACCUGGUCAGGUCCGGAAGGAAGCAGCCACAACGGAUAGCGGCGGGUCGCCCGGCUCCUUCCAU